GCAAAACCAACAUUAGUACCGCGUCUCAAUUGGCCACCGCCGUGUGCAGCCAUACCUUUCAUAAGUCAUGUCUUUUUAAAUACUCACAAACGCAGGAUUUUUGCCCAGCUUGUUACACGAAGCUCGCUCCUCAUAAAACCAAGACAACAGCGCCUACUAAGACUGUCUCCCAUGGCCAUAAUACCAGGUCCCAAACACCUAGACGGACUGAUUCUGUACCCCCGCUAGACGCCGACGAUAGUAGUGCUACAGUCGCGGCCGCAGCUAGCGUUUUACAAAUAAGCAAGUCGCCACGGAACUCUCCAGAUCAGGUUCAAAAUUUGGUGAAUGCAGCGGUUGGCGCACAACAAGCGCAUAUGCUUACUGAAUUAAGCCAGCAAAUCAAGCAACUUGUCGAGACUAAUAUCGAUGCAGGGUUAAGGAGAUUCAGCAUUCAAGCUUCUUCUCUAACUAACAAUGCUUUCCCCACCAAUUCUCGAGUUCAGACUUUGCCGGCCGUGGAGCAACAAACGUUUGAACAAUUGCUUGGCUUACCACCAACUGUCAAUACCGAACAAGUACCCACACAUCUUGGACAAUAUGGAGAUCAAGCUGAUUCUGAUUUGUCUUUUAGACCGGAUAAAGUCGGUCUCAUAAUUUAUAACUGGAAAGUUAAAUUCACGGGGGGCACAGAUGGUCUCUCGGUUGAAAAUUUCAUUUAUCGCGUGGAAGCCUUAACAUUACAAACUCUUGGCGGAAGUUUCUCUCUGUUAUGUUGCUACGUCAGUUCACUUUUCGAUGGCAAAGCAAGCGAUUGGUUUUGGCGUUAUCACAAGGCUGCACGUAACAUUCGUUGGCAAGACUUGUGCAAUGCGUUACGCCUCCAAUACAAUGACACUCGUACUGAUGUAGAUUAUCGCGAAAUGAUAAGAGGAAGCAGAGGGCAAACGAAACAUUCGAUUCUUUUUAUGAUUCCAUAUGCUAGAUAAUAGACCGAUUAUCAGAACCUAUUCCAGAGCAAUCGUUAGUAGAGAUACUACGCAGAAACUUACUACCUGAAAUACAGCAUGAAUUCCUUAAUCUUCAAAUUUUUUCAGUUUCUCGUCUAAGAGAAGUUCGUAGGAAGCGCGAGUUUUUCUUGGACGACUUGAAAAGACGACAUUCCACACAUAUAACAAGGCAAAACCCCAUACGGAAAUAUGUUACUGAAAUUAACAGUGAAUCUGAUAUCCCUGAUAAUAACGAGGAAAGUACCUUCGUUAUGCCCACCGAAAACGAAGUAUCCGCUAUUACGUUAACUUGUUGGAAUUGCUCGCAACCUGGCCACCGCUACCAAGAAUGCUUAGGGGAGCGAAAAGUUUUCUGCUACGGAUGUGGGAAACCAAAUACCUACAAGCCUACUUGCACAAGCUGUAGUAAGCCAAAAAACUUGCAAGGGAGUGCACCGACGAGUGCACGCAAACCGAACCAGGUGAACAACGCCAACUAAAUAACUCAGACUCAAUUCCUGAAAUUUACUUAGAUUCCGAAACUGAAAAUCCUAAAACAACUAGUCCAUUUAAGCCAUAUCAUAUUCGCGUAGCUGAAUACGAACAAGCACGUGAGAAAAUCUUCCAGAACUCUCAAGUUUUUAAGCCAUCGCGCUCAUCUCGGUCUAGCACUCGUAUGCGAUCAUUCUGGAACAAAGUUCGUGGAAAUCGUGAGAGGUUUACGCUUAAAUUAGUGGUGACAUAACCAUAACUAUAUAAAACAACUGUUCCAACCAACCUUAUGGGCAAAACUGUAUUCGAUUAGUGGUGCCAUACCAUAACGCCAUAGCUAUAGAGGCCCAUUGAAUUUUGGUUUUCCGCCAUAACCAUAAACAGCUGAUAUCUGAAUUGCGUCAUUUUGCGCUUUUAUUUUUCGCGUCACUUUGCAAAAGGUUAUUUUUUCAGUAUAUUGUCUAAUUUGUUUCGUUUUUUCGCGUUCGGUGCAGUUUACAAUUAAUCCUGUUGCAACUAAUCUUUUCACAAGACAUACGAUCUCAAUUUCCUCAUUUAGUCACAUUCAUGUGUAACACCAAGCAGUGGGAUAACCUGGCGCUCGAAUGAACGAUGUAUAUUGGAAAAACCCCACUCAAAUCGCAAAAAAAAAAGAAUUGUUGCACUUUUCAUUAUGUAAGUUUUAAUUUGUAUUUUUUCGCCCGUGCCUUUCAUUUUCAUGGUGUUAAUAUAUUAUUCAGUUUUUCCGCGUUCAGUAUUUGAGUAUUAGCAAUGGAUGAUGAAAAGCUUAUUGAGUCUGUCCGGAGCUGUCCCUGUUUGUACGAUAAAAGUCAUACAGACUUCAAGAACCCGGAGAAAAAAAGACGAGCUUGGCUGGAAGUUGCCAACAGUUUGGAAGUUAAUGAAUCCAUUGUCAUGAAGCGGUGGGGAAAUUUGAGAGAGCGCUUCAGCAAGGAAAUUAGAAACUCCUCCUCAGGAAGUGGCGCGCUUUUGGGAAGGCAGUGAGUGCUAUUAGACAGCCUGCAGUUUCUAAGAAGUCAUAUUAUUCCUAAACCAAUGCGACAAAGUGCGCCAUCAUUGCAAACAAAUGAUGUAAGUGGCGAAAUUUUAGACAUACUUUGCGAUUCCGCCUUGCUUGCGCAGUCACCUCAAAUUUCCCCUGCGCAGUCACCUCCUAAGUCAACUUCAAUUCCAUCUGCGAGGAGCCGCACAGGAUGACGAGUUAGACACUGCAAUACUGGAUACCGUAAAAACUUUCCAGGAGGUAUGUGCACGUAAAGGUAAUCGAGAAGGGUUUAGUGCGGAGAUAAGUGGUUUUGGGAAAAUGAUAUGUUCUGCCAUUUCCAAAAUGAAAAAGCCUAACCAAGCGCUAGUGAUGCGUCGAUGCACUGAUAUUGUUAUGCAAGCGCAGAUUGACGAGCAUGAAGAAGUACAAGAGGAACAAAACUAUUCAACUAAAGACUAGUAUAACUAUAUUAUUAAGUAUUGACUAUUAGACCAAUCAGAAUGAGCACAUUGCGUCCGUGUACAAAAAUGACAUGUCGCACAGAACGUAAAGAGAUACAACAAUGAGAGCGUCGGUGUAAACAAAUCAGUAUGAUACUUCUCCGCCACGGACGCAGUGCUAAUUCUGAUGGGCCUACAUGUCGAUGGUUGAGUGCACACUUUUUGCCACAUGAAAUUAUUACUAAGUCAGUAAAGCACAGCAGCUAUCUAUAUAUUUGACUGAUACAAUACUGAGCAAGCCACUUAUAAUUCAGUGGAACUUUUGUCCAGUAAAAUUAUAUUUUAGAGAAAUCAAAAUUUGUUAGAGCUCUUAACUCGUACCCUGAAUUUCAAAAUGUAAAAAUACAAAAGUCAAAAAGUGAUAUAUAAGUGCCACUUACUUUU
rnacentral:lncRNA from 1 species